UAGUUUUUCUUGUGAAUUGAUGCUGAGAUACAUUCAAAUAUGAAUAAAGUGCUGGAAAGAGUUACUGUAGCAAAGAGCAACACUGUAGAACCACGUGUUGAGUGGGAAGAAUUUAACUUCUUGAAGAAUCUGAAGAAAAAGCAGAAAUUAUUAUUCUUACUUCAUUUUGCUGCCCUUUUUAUCAGAUGGAGAUGAAAAUCAAUUCAUUUUGCCUCCUUUAAUCCACUGGUUUCUUUUCCCACAUUUAGUCCAAUUUUUUUUCUUGACAUUCUAUUUUUUUAUCCAAGUGCUUUUGCACUCCUCAUUCCUGCCACUUCAGUCCACCACUACUGUCUCUAUACAGCAUUCAUCUGCAGCUUGAUUGUGUCAUCUCUUAGUUUCAUUUCAAAGAGGCUACACUACCAAUCUACAUUAGAUCACAACUCAGUAGUCCACACUCCUUCAGCUUAUCAGUGUCCUAUCUGACUUCUUAUUUUCCAAAAUGGAAUUGUAUACUGUCUUUAGACAGUCAUUAGUAAUCUCCAUCUCGGAGAGAUCUAGUCAACAGAAUCCUAUACCACUUCUGCUGAACAAAUAUAAGUACCUACUCUGGGAAGUGAUGAAUUGCAAAUGCUGUUGAGUCUUCAUCCUUGGAGAUCUUUGAAGUCUGACUGGACAUGAUCCCAGGCAACAUACUCUUAUGUGACCAUGUUUUGAACAAAGGUGUUGGACAGGAUUGAUUUGGAAUAAUAAUGACUUAGAAUUUUCUAAUAGUGCUUUUUGUGUAACCUUGCCAAAUGCCCUUUGGAAAGCUACAUAUGUGAUAUUAGCAGUUCUUUACACAUUUUCCUGUUAUGUUGAAGAAUUUUAAAGGCUCUGAUAUAUGCUGAGGAAGAAACCCAUUACUUGGGUGGUGUUUCCUUCCAUGGUGUUUGUCUGCCUGUGAGUUUUUAAACUAUGGCAAAUGUGAAACAUUUUCUUUUUCUUCUUGAGGAAGGCCUCAAAUAGAUUUAGUUGGCUACCUUUUGGAAUGAGAUGCACACAUCCAGGUCCAGAUAUUAUGCAUCAGCUGGUGUUUCUCUGAUAGUUAUGUGUGAAGGCUGACAGACUAAUGAGACAGCAUUGCCCUUAGAGAAUGAAACUGAUAAGUGCAUUAUGCUACAUGCUUUCACGUUUCUGAUUUUCUCUAUUCAAUGAUUAUUUCAACCAAUAUCCUAUGUCGAGCCUUGAGGUUUACUAGUAUUUAAUUCCAAGAAUCUCUCUUCAGUGUAGAUGCAAAAAAGUGCAAAUGUGUUCAAGAGUGCAGUAAAGAUUGGUAUGUAUCUUUGAAUAUUUCCAGUGACAAUAUAAUAGAAAAAAACAAAAACUAAUAAAAAACCAUCUAAUGGAAAAGAAACA
rnacentral:lncRNA from 1 species